rnacentral:rRNA from 1 species
GCGUAAGAGCUCUAGGCGGCUUGUCCGUCGGGUGUGAAAGCCCGGGGCUUAACCCCGGGUCUGCAUUCGAUACGGGCUAGCUAGAGUGUGGUAGGGGAGAUCGGAAUUCCUGGUGUAGCGGUGAAAUGCGCAGAUAUCAGGAGGAACACCGGUGGCGAAGGCGGAUCUCUGGGCCAUUACUGACGCUGAGGAGCGAAAGCGUGGGGAGCGAACAGGAUUAGAUACCCUGGUAGUCCACGCCGUAAACGGUGGGAACUAGGUGUUGGCGACAUUCCACGUCGUCGGUGCCGCAGCUAACGCAUUAAGUUCCCCGCCUGGGGAGUACGGCCGC